GAUGAACGCUAGCUACAGGCUUAACACAUGCAAGUCGAGGGGAAACGACAUCGAAAGCUUGCUUUUGAUGGGCGUCGACCGGCGCACGGGUGAGUAACGCGUAUCCAACCUGCCCAUCACUUGGGAAUAACCUUGCGAAAGUAAGACUAAUACCCAAUGAUAUCCCACGAAGGCAUCGGAAUGGGAUUAAAGAUUUAUCGGUGAUGGAUGGGGAUGCGUCUGAUUAGCUUGUUGGCGGGGUAACGGCCCACCAAGGCAACGAUCAGUAGGGGUUCUGAGAGGAAGGUCCCCCACAUUGGAACUGAGACACGGUCCAAACUCCUACGGGAGGCAGCAGUGAGGAAUAGUGGUCAAGGGGCGAGAGCCUGAACCAGCCAAGUAGCGUGCAGGAAGACGGCCCUAUGGGUUGUAAACUGCUUUUAUAAGGGAAUAAAGUGGGUCACGUGUGACUUUUUGCAUGUACCUUAUGAAUAAGGACCGGCUAAUUCCGUG
rnacentral:rRNA from 1 species